GAUAAUCCAUUGCACAUCGGUUAUCAAAAUAAUACACUACCCCAAUGCAAAGAUGUAAACAAAGAUUCUUCAAAAAUCCAACGAUCCAUUCGAUCAUCCGUCACACGUUUGCUAGGAUGAGGCCACACUGCCUCAGUGCGAUGGUAAGUCGUACCCUCGACGGUCCGUCGUCUUGGCCAUCGAAUUUGGACAAAAAAAAGGAUUUAUUUCCAUGGUUGCGAUGGUCUAGGCGAUGGUCCAUU
rnacentral:lncRNA from 1 species